GCGGUUGUGGCGGAACUGGUAGACGCACUACCUUGAGGUGGUAGCGCUGGAAACGGCGUGGAGGUUCGAGUCCUCUCAACCGCACCA
rnacentral:tRNA from 1 species